rnacentral:rRNA from 1 species
AUUGAACGCUGGCGGCAGGCCUAACACAUGCAAGUCGAACGAGUGGCGGACGGGUGAGUAAUGUCUGGGAAACUGCCUGAUGGAGGGGGAUAACUACUGGAAACGGUAGCUAAUACCGCAUACCAUCAGAUGUGCCCAGAUGGGAUUAGCUAGUAGGUGGGGUAACGGCUCACCUAGGCGACGAUCCCUAGCUGGGCUGAGAGGAUGACAGGCCACACGGGAACGGAGAAACGGUCCAGACCCCAACGGGGGGCAGCGGUGGGUAAGAUUGCACAAUGGGCGCAAGCCUGAGGCAGCCCUGCCGCGUGUAUGAAGAAGGCCUUCGGGUUGUAAAGUACUUUCAGCGGGGAGGCGUUACCCGCAGAAGAAGCACCGGCUAACUCCGUGCCAGCAGCCGCGGUAAUAC